rnacentral:lncRNA from 10 species
UGGCUCAUUUUACUUAGCUGCUGAAGAAGGAGAGUCGCAUUCAGCCAGGGAUCACUGAGCAUUGAAAACAUUCAUGAUCUCAUUCCACCUGAAGCCAGUGCCUCUGUAAUGUGUAGCAGAAUCCUAUGGAGAAGUUGUAAAAACACAAAAUGUUGGCCCCACCCCAAGAGUUUCUGAUUUUGCAGGUCUGGAGAGGGCCUGUGAUACGUACUUCUAACAAGCUCCCAGGCGAUGCUAAUGUUGCUGGUCUAGAAACACACUUUGAGAGCCACUGUUUUACAAUGUAUUCACCCAGCUUAUGCAAUCAACUACUAUCACAGCAAAGUCCAAAGAAUGCUCCUUAUUUGUUUGUUAUACUGGAGUUUGGCUUGGCUAAAUAUUAUUUGAAACUGAAUGGCUGUUGAUUGUGGCUCAGAAACUGUUUUCUUCAUAGCGCUGCAAUUGGAUUUAUUUAUUAGAAUUUGAGCUGAAUGUUGUCGUACAUUUUGGUUACAUUGGUUUCUCAGGAUAUUUUAUAGGUACAUGUUGUCUCUUUCUAAGUGCACUGUCACUUGAGGUGGGCCUGGGCCUUUUGUUCCUGUUUGUCCUUACUCUUCCACGGAGCUAGCAGUCUCCAGCACAGGGGUGAUCAGUUCUUAAUCACUGAAGACUAAUUAAUCUUUCAGUAUACAUGCUAUUUUAGUGAGUAAUUUUUGCCAGAAAUACUAGUGCUGAUGUAAAAUAAGGGUUAGGAUUAGGGAAGGAUUUGGCCUGAAUAAUUCAAUUUAUAUGUAUAAGUCAGGGUUCUCUAGAGAAAUAGAAUCAAUAGGGUGUGUGUGUGUGUGUGUGUGUGUGUGGUGGUGGUGGCAGUGCAGGGACAGAGACAGAGAGACAGGGAGGGAGAGAGAGAGAGGGACAGAAAGAGAGAGAGAGAUUUAUGAGAAGGAAUUGGCUCACACAAUCACGGAGGCUGAGAAGUCCCUAGGAUCUGCAGUCAGCUAGCUGGAGACCAAGGAGAGCUGAUGGUAUUGUUCCAGUCCAAGUCCAAAACCCUGAGAACCAGGAGAGAUGAUAGUGCAAGUUUCAGUCCAAAAGAUGCCAAAUUCAAGAUCCAAGAAGAACUGAUGUUUCAGUUUGCGUCUAAAGGCAGGAAAAGACCGAUGUCUCAGCUCAAGUAUCAGGCAGAAGGAGUGCCCUCUUAAAAAGAAUCAGCCUUUUUGUUCUAUUCAGGCCUUCAACUCAUUGGAUGAGGGCCACAUGCAUUAGGGAAGGCAAUCUGCUUUCCGCAGUCUGUGCAUUCAUAUGUUAAUCUCAUCCAAAAACACCCUUACAGACACACCCAGAAUUAUGCUUGACCUAAUACCUGGGCACUCCACAUCCCAGUCAAGUUGACACAAAAUUAACCAUCACACUAUAUAUGUAUAAUCAUUAGUUAAAUGGAAAUUGGUUCACUGUCCAAAUUCCUCUACCUUUUGCCUCAAUGAAAAAAAAAAUGGUUGCCUGUUCACUCUGAUGGUAGUUUCUUUUGCUGUGUG